AGUCGAGCGAGAAGUCACCUUCGGGUGGCGAGUAAAGCGGCGCACGGGUGAGUAACACGUGAGUAACGUACCCUUGGGUGCGGGAUAACCUUUCGAAAGGAUGGCUAAUACCGCAUAAGACCACAACACCUUAUGGUGAAGGGGUCAAAGCUUUAGUGCCCAAGGAUCGGCUCGCGGUCCAUUAGAUAGUUGGCGGGGUAAUGGCCCACCAAGUCCAAGAUGGAUAGCUGGUCUGAGAGGAUGAUCAGCCACACUGGAACUGAGACACGGUCCAGACUCCUACGGGAGGCAGCAGUGGGGAAUAUUGCGCAAUGGACGAAAGUCUGACGCAGCAACGCCGCGUGUGUGAUGAAGGCUUUCGGGUCGUAAAGCACUGUCAGGAGGGAAGAAACAAAGACGGUACCUCCAAAGGAAGCACCGGCUAACUCCGUGCCAGCAGCCGCGGUAAUACGGAGGGUGCAAACGUUGUUCGGAAUCAUUGGGCGUAAAGCGCACGUAGGCGGCUUAUUAAGUCGGAUGUGAAAUCCCGGGGCUCAACCUCGGAAUGCCAUUGGAAACUGAUAAGCUUGAGAGUGAGAGGGGUUAGUGGAAUUGCUGGUGUAGGGGUGAAAUCCGUAGAGAUC
rnacentral:rRNA from 1 species